AAGUUGUUUGCAAACCGCUGUUAAACCACACUGAAGAAGAAAAAGAAGAAGAGAAUCUGUAGAAAUCCGAUACGAAUCGCAUUUAAAACGACUCAUGAAUGUGGUUAUAUGGGUAGCAAAAAUCGCUGUCCAUAUGUUGAUUACAACCUGGAUAUUGAAAAAAAUCCUGCUUGUACCGAACAUGAAAGCAACUGAUACUCUUCGAGACCUUUUUAAUAAAGACUGGAAGAUUUGGCUGUUGCGUCUAGGCAAUAGCAAAACGUCCAUGAACUGGACCUUUGAGCAGCAGUAUGAUGCAGGACAGAGUCUUUUGAAGACGGGACUGAGACGACUUUAGCAGAGCUCACCGAGCAGCACAGGCUCAGCCUGGAAGAAGAGGAACUCUUGUUGAAUGGAGUCUGUCCAUAUGGCAGAGUUGGAGACUCAGUGUACCACACCAGAACUCAACACACUGGAGUCAGAGUGUGUUACUGCACACAGCGGGGUCGGUGGUGGUUACCACACAGAUACACCAUUGAUAAAAACGGAAACAGAUCUGGGCCCCACCGAUACUGGAUAUUUUAAGACGGAGAGCCUUGACAGUACAGACCUGGGGUGUGUAACCCAUCUGCAUCCUGACCAAAUCAAAGCAGAGCCUGACUAUGGAGGCUACAUUCAGGCUCAACACAUCAGUGACUUGCAAGAUACAUGGGUUCAUAUUAAAUCUGAUGACCUGAAGUUUGAAUCCCGUGAAAGUUUAGUGAGUGGUCCUAUGGGUACUGUGAUGGAUGGAGCUACAGUUAAUCACAGAGGCCAGACUGAACCAUGGAAACAUACCGGAGAGCCAAAUUCAAACUGUAAAAAUAAAGGUGUUUGUGUGAAAAUGGCCUCUGCACAUACAUUUGAAAACCCACAGCCUUCUCGCCCAAAAUGGGAAUGGAAGUGCUGUGAUCCCUUACGACGGCAUAGAAAACCAGCAAAAAAAUCCCUUCGUCCAACGACCGUCAAUGCUGCACACAAAUACAGCAACGUGAUGCAUCUCGAAGUCAGCCCCGGUAAUAAGCUGUGUCCGUCAUGCAUUAUCAUUUUACACAGAAAGUGCAAAGGGAAUCCAAGUCCAGAUCCAGAUCCUGACCACGCUGAAAAGGAAAUGGAAGCAGAAAGACUCCAGUCACGCUGAAGUAGGCAUUUCAAUCCACUCUGGGUACACAGACUAGGAGCUCAUUCUCUGCCAAAAAAUAUAUGGACUAGGUGCAGAGGAAGCUGGGAAAUGCACCGGCCACUAUUCAACAACAGGUUUCAGAGGUAUUGAAUAUAGCAACAGAACCUUAAAAUGAAAUGGAUCAGAAGGCUAAACACCUUGACAGACUUGUUGACCUUAUGAAAGAAAAGAUCAAAAUAUCCAGCAGACAAACCAAUCCAAAUCUUAACUAUGGCGACACAUUCUGGACUGUCAGGAAAAUCAUGUCUGAAUUCAUUGUAACUUGAUGGAAUAUAAUUGUAUAUUUUUUGAAUAAAUUAUCUAUUUGACUUCA